UAAUCAAAAUUUGACAAUUAAGAUUCCUUUAUUUAGCACUAAUUUUUUGCAGAAAGAAAUAUGCCAGGACAGGAACAAAAUGCCACGGUUUCAGCAACUUACAAAGGCCCUUGCCUGAAUUUUAUUCAACAAUCGACUGCAUUCAACGGUAGCAUAAAAAUACGA
rnacentral:lncRNA from 1 species